rnacentral:rRNA from 1 species
CCUACGGGUGGCAGCAGUAGGGAAUCUUUCACAAUGGGCGAAAGCCUGAUGGAGCAACGUCGCGUGCAGGAUGAAGGCCUUCGGGUUGUAAACUGCUUUUAUAAGCGAGAAAUAUGAUGGUAACUUAUGAAUAAGGAUCGGCUAACUACGUGCCAGCAGCCGCGGUCAUACGUAGGAUCCGAGCAUUAUCCGGAGUGACUGGGUGUAAAGAGUUGCGUAGGUGGCAUAAUAAGUAGCUAGUGAAAUCUGGUGGCUCAACCAUUCAGACUAUUAGCGAAACUGUUAAGCUCGAGACCGUUAGAGGUAACUGGAAUGUGUAGUGUAGGAGUGAAAUCCGUAGAUAUUAGAAGGAACACCAAUAGCGUAGGCAGGUUGCUGGGACGGUUCUGACGCUAAGGCACGAAAGCGUAGGGAGCAAACGGGAUUAGAUACCCUUGUAGUC